rnacentral:rRNA from 1 species
CGAAAGCCUGACGGAGCAAUACCGCGUGAGGGAGGAAGGCUUUUGGGUUGUAAACCUCUUUUCUCAAGGAAGAAAAAAAUGACGGUACUUGAGGAAUAAGCAUCGGCUAACUCCGUGCCAGCAGCCGCGGUAAUACGGAGGAUGCAAGCGUUAUUCGGAAUUAUUGGGCGUAAAGCGUCCGCAGGUGGUAUUUCAAGUCUGCUGUCAAAGACCGAAGCUUAACUUCGGAAAGGCAGUGGAAACUGAAAAACUAGAGUACGGUAGGGGUAGAGGGAAUUUCCAGUGUGGCGGUGAAAUGCGUAGAGAUUGGAAAGAACACCAGUGGCGAAGGCGCUCUACUGGGCCGUAACUGACACUCAGGGACGAAAGCUAGGGGAGCG